rnacentral:rRNA from 1 species
UAGGGAAUAUUGCUUAAUGGGCGAAAGCCUGAAGCAGCAACGCCGCGUGUGCGAUGAAGGCCUUCGGGUUGUAAAGCACUUUUCGAGGGGAUGAGGAAGGACAGUACCCUUGGAAUAAGUCUCGGCUAACUACGUGCCAGCAGCCGCGGUAAAACGUAGGAGACGAGCGUUAUCCGGAUUUACUGGGCGUAAAGCGCGUGUAGGCGGUCUGGAAAGUUGGAUGUGAAAGCUCCCGGCUUAACUGGGAGAGGUCGUUCAAAACUACCGGACUAGAGUGCGGGAGAGGGAGGUGGAAUUCCGGGUGUAGUGGUGAAAUGCGUAGAUAGUCCGGAGGAACACCAGUGGCGAAAGCGGCCUUCUGGCCCGCAACUGACGCUCAGACGCGAAACGCUAGGGGGAG